GCUCAACCUGGGAACUGCAUUCGAAACUGGCAGGCUGGAGUCUUGUAGAGGGGGGUAGAAUUCCAGGUGUAGCGGUGAAAUGCGUAGAGAUCUGGAGGAAUACCGGUGGCGAAGGCGGCCCCCUGGACAAAGACUGACGCUCAGGUGCGAAAGCGUGGGGAGCAAACAGGAUUAGAUACCCUGGUAGUCCACGCUGUAAACGAUGUCGACUUGGAGGUUGUUCCCUUGAGGAGUGGCUUCCGGAGCUAACGCGUUAAGUCGACCGCCUGGGGAGUACGGCCGCAAGGUUAAAACUCAAAUGAAUUGACGGGGGCCCGCACAAGCGGUGGAGCAUGUGGUUUAAUUCGAUGCAACGCGAAGAACCUUACCUACUCUUGACAUCCASRGAAYUURGCAGAGAUGCYUURGUGCCUUCGGGAACYSUGAGACAGG
rnacentral:rRNA from 2 species